UUCAAGACUCCGUGCAGGCUGCGGCAGGAGCACCUCGGGGACAUCAGCCGAUUAAUUUGCUUAUUCAGAAGGCUGUUCUGGCUGCUUGGUCUGACUUGCCCAGACUGUCACUGAGAUAUUUGGAAGCUUGAAGAUACAGGCUGACCAAUCCCAACUCUCUCCACCUCUCCUUACAGAGGUGCUCCAUCUCUCUGACCAAUUUGGUGGCCUCGUCUGGACUCGCUCCAGGGGAAUUUCACAGAAUCAUUCUUGGAAAAGUACCUGUGUACCUCCUACAUGUGCUACUGAUGAUAUUUCAAGUUGUUCUGUUGAUCCAGCCAGAAGUAAAAAAGAUUCACACCUGUAGGUGAAGCUGUAGUACCUUC